rnacentral:rRNA from 1 species
GAUGAACGCUAGCGGCAGGCCUAACACAUGCAAGUCGAGGGGCAGCACAGAAACAGCAAUGUUUUGGUGGCGACCGGCGGACGGGUGCGUAACGCGUAUGCAACCUACCUUUAACAGGGGGAUAACGGAGAGAAAUUUCCACUAAUACCCCAUAACAUCGAUCAAGGCAUCUUGAUUGGUUGAAAACUCCGGUGGUUAAAGAUGGGCAUGCGUUGUAUUAGGUAGUUGGUGAGGUAAUGGCUCACCAAGCCUACGAUACAUAGGGGGACUGAGAGGUUAGCCCCCACACUGGUACUGGGACACGGACCAGACUCCUACGGGAGGCAGCAGUGAGGAAUAUUGGUCAAUGGGGGCAACCCUGAACCAGCCAUGCCGCGUGCAGGAAGACGGCUCUAUGAGUUGUAAACUGCUUUUAAACAGGGAUAAAGCACAGUGUGUAUACUGUGUUGAAGGUACUGUAAGAAUAAGGAUCGGCUAACUCCGUGCCAGCCGCCGCGGUAA